rnacentral:rRNA from 1 species
AGUAGUUUGAUCAUCGGCUCGAGGACGACGCUGGCGGCGUGCUUAACACAUGCAAGUCGAACGGUGAAGGGAAGCUUGCUUCCCGGAUCAGUGGCGAACGGGUGAGUAACACGUGGGCAAUCUGCCCCAGACUUUGGGAUAACUACUCGAAAGAGUAGCUAAUACCGAAUAUUCAGCCUUGCAGGCAUCUGCGAGGCUGGAAAGUUUCUCGGUCUGGGAUGAGCCCGCGGCCUAUCAGCUAGUUGGUGAGGUAAUGGCUCACCCAAGGCGACGACGGGUAGCCGGCCUGAGAGGGCGACCGGCCACACUGGGACUGAGACACGGCCCAGACUCCUACGGGAGGCAGCAGUGGGGAAUAUUGCGCAAUGGGCGAAAGCCUGACGCAGCAACGCCGCGUGCGGGAUGAAGGCCUUCGGGUUGUAAACCGCUUUCAGCUGGGAAGAAGCGAAAGUGACGGUACCUGCAGAAGAAGCACCGGCUAACUACGUG